UACAGAGGUGGCAAGCGUUGUUCGGAAUUACUGGGCGUAAAGGGCUCGUAGGCGGCCAACUAAGUCGGAUGUGAAAUCCCCAGGCUUAACCUGGGAACUGCAUCCGAUACUGGUUGGCUUGAAUCCGGGAGAGGGAUGUGGAAUUCCAGGUGUAGCGGUGAAAUGCGUAGAUAUCUGGAGGAACACCGGUGGCGAAGGCGGCAUCCUGGACCGGUAUUGACGCUGAGGAGCGAAAGCCAGGGGAGCAAACGGG
rnacentral:rRNA from 1 species